ACGCCAGGCACCUCUUGCGUCUGCUGAUAAAUCGCUUUCUGUGGGGAGGCGCCGGAGGGGACACCGCGCUGUGUCUCACAGCAGACACUUGUGUCUCACUGCCCCACCUCUCCCGAGCACGGGGCAGCGUCAGGGAAAUCCUGUCCCUUCCCCACCGGGUCAGGGGAGGGGGGCUCAGCCCCGGGAGGGGGAGCCUGGCAGACCCCUCCUCGAGGUCCACAUCCAAAGGACACUGUUAUCGCACCCCAUCACACCACAUCGCCCAUCCUGCCGUAUCAGCAAGCCGGAGCAUCUCAGUGAAGUUCCCACCUGCAUUUAUGCAUACAAGUUGAUAUGUGGUCACAUAUAUAUCGUGUAUUUGUGUAUGAUUUUAUAUUUUUAAUAUGCAAAAUGUUUAUUUAGAUAGUCUUCAGCUUGUGUUGCUUGCUCGUAGAUCUGCAAGCGCAUGAAACAAAAGGAAAUUGAGGGACUAGCUCACUAGUCUUUAAAAAGGUAACUAAAACAACCAAAUAUAUAUUCGACUGUAAUAAUUAAUAGUUAAUUAAUCGUAUAUGUGCGUGUACGCACACGCGGGAAGGAGCCACGCCGCACAGGGAAGCACCUGGGGCAGGGGGUGGGAAGGGGGAUGCGUUCGAUCCCACCGCUGCUGCUCAGGUGGGUGUGAUAUUCGGCUUUAAACACGAGCUCGGUUCCUUCCCAUCCUUCCCGAGCCUCUGCAAUGCGGGCGGCAGCACACUGCUCCCGGAAAGGGGAACAGGAAAGUGAAUGUGCCCUGCGGGCGGGGGUGGCUGUGCUGGCACACGGGGAGCCUGUAUCCCUGCAUCCCUGCUGCCGCUGUCCCGUGUAAGGCACGGAGCUGGCAGCUGCGGGCAGCAAGCGGUGACAGCUCCCCGCGGGGUACAGCUGCUGGAAAGGCCCGCCCCGGACACCUGGCUGAGGUGCCCGCCGCUGUCGUUCCCGGGUCUCAAUGCUCUCAAUCUCGUCUGCAAAGAGUAUCCUUUCCCUGAAGGUCCUCCCAGCUCUCGGCUUGGCACUCCCAUGUGCUAUUUAAAUAAAUGGUACCGCCGAGAUGAAACACACUCAUGGCCGGGAUGGGUACGGUUUGCACCUAUCUCAGGGCUCCGGCCAGCAGCAGGCCGGGAGGAGAGACCCUUGGUAGUUACACCUGAGCGGCGAGAGGUCUGCACGGCUUGUGUAGCACAGCCCAGCGCAGGUCCCUCCGUUUUGACAGGACUUAGAAGCCUGCCGAGGCCUGAGGAACUCAGGGAGGAGGUAGCCCCCUCCUCUACGGACAUCCGCCCUGCUGAGGUGGCCGAGGGCUUGGGGUGUUCGGAUGGGGCUGGGUGGACACGGGGAGGCAGCGGGAGCUGGACACCAGCGGGCAAUGGGGGUAAGGCAAGGAGAGGUGGGAGAGCUGCCACUUUGCGAGCACAGCCCUAGAAAUGUAACCCGGGUGAGACCCCGCCGGUCCCAGGAACUCCGGGGAGAGGCUCCAGCCGGCCAGGACCUGCCAGGGGGGCUGUGCGUGUCCCGAGCAGGGACAGGACAGCCGGGGAAAUCUCGUCCUCCGCCUGGGAAUCAGCCUCCUAUUCCCGCCUGGGAAUGAGCCUGUGCCUCGGGAGCUGUCCUGGCACCCGCAGUUCCUCUCCGUGCGGAACACUCCGCGGCCAGCCCUCAGGGCAUUUUCCGACGGUGAGGGGAAAAGCCUAACCAGGGACACCAGGAGUGUCCCUCCAAUGCGCGUUAGCGAUGGAUUUCCCUCUCCCGCCACAAGAUUUUAACGGGGUUUGAACGGAGAGCAAACGCCAAGAUGAGGGAUGCUGCUAAGCUCACACGGCUGAGAGUGUUCGCCGGGGACUGGAGACGAUCUAGCUAAAGGUACAUCCCGCACAUGUGGUGCCCACCGACCUGGUGUCCCAACCUUCACCGGCAUUACCACAAAUUGAAAGCUGAUUUUGAGCUAAGGGGUGAAAGAAGAGGCGCAUCCCUGUGCCUGGAGGGCUGGAGGGGAGAACGGCAACUCUGGACUCCAGAGAUACUCUCACUUUACGCCGGGGACAAGCCUUUUGCUUUGUGAAGACAGACACGACAGACAAAUCCCUUCAGUCUCUGAAUGACAGCCUACAUGUCCUACUGCUUGGAAGGCUGGGCACAGCUGGCCUGACCGCCGAACAUUGCAGUUAGGUUUUCUGGGUGAAUUUUGUGCUUUUCAGAGACAAGUGCUCUUGCUGCGAGCUGGGGAGACCCCAGCCGAGCGGUUUUCCUGGGGACGGUGUAGGCAGGUUUGGAAAGGAGUGGCAAGAAAUCUCAUUCGGCAUUUUCCAGCGAUUACUUCACUGGGAAAAUAGAACUGGAAACGUUCCCCCGAUCGGCUCUUUCCUGCGUCGCGCGUUCGGUUAUCGCAUGGUCCCUGUGAGCUCAGGGAAAAAGAGGCCCUCUCGCUGCCCUUGGCCUUGCGGGUGAGUGGAGGCGCUGGGGCGAGGUCAGCUACCUCCGGAACGGAGCCGAGCGGAGCGGCUGCUGCCCUCCGCCCACCUCGGGGGCACCGCCCGCCGACUGGGGCGGGACCGGCAACCGGGACGGACAGCGGUGGAAGGUGUAAGGCUAAACCAAAUCCGAAAAAUAACCCCCAUAAAAAAAAAAAAAAAAAAUCAAGAACAAAAAACCCCCAAAACAACCAAAACAACCAAACAAGAAAACGUUAGCUACAGAAGACAGCAGAUGGCCAAGAGUUAGCUUCUGAUGACCUGCGCUCGCCCUGACCAUGGCUGCCCCGGGGAGAGAAGGCUCCGGCGCUGCCGGCCUUUCUCUGUCGCCGCCCGGCCUUCUCGCUCGCCCAGCGCCGCCCCUCGGUUCGGUGGCCCGCGGGUCUCGGUGGUGGUGCCCGAAUGUGGGGGGGUGAAGCCGCCUCCAGGAAGGAUCCUUCAAGGGCUCCCCGGGAGGGAGCGGUGCGGGGCGAGCCUCUGGAAGGGGAACCGAGCGUCGCAUCGCUUACCUGGCUUAGGCAAAAGACACAGAAAGAAAAACCCUUCUCUGGAAAAAAUAAGUACAAAUCCUUCUCGAGCACUCCCGGAGCCGCGUCCCCAGUGAUGCACUUGGCCAGCGGAGGGGAAAGGCACCGGCGGCUGCUGCAGCGCCGAGCAGGGCGGGAGCCGCCGCAGCGUCUGGCU